rnacentral:rRNA from 1 species
UACGGAGGGUGCAAGCGUUGCUCGGAUUGACUGGGCGUAAAGGGCGCGUAGGCGGUUCGUACAGUCAGACGUGAAAUCCUGGGCUCAACCUGGGGGCUGCGUUUGAUACGUGCGGACUUGAGUGCGGAAGAGGUCGUGGAAUUCCCGAGUGUAGGAGGUGAAAUUCGUAGAUAUUGGGAAAGAACACCGGUGGCGAAGGCGGCGACCUGGUCCGAUACUGACG